GAUAUGCUAGUCAUAUGCUUGUCUCAAGUCGUAACAAGGUUUCACUGUAGUCAUAUGCUUGUCUCAAGUCGUAACAAGGUUUCACUGUAGUCAUAUGCUUGUCUCAAGUCGUAACACGGUUUAACUGCCCCGACUUCUUAAGGGGUGUAUUUAUUAGAUAAAAAACCAAUGCCCUUCGGGGCUCCUUGGUGAUUCAUAAUAACUUAACGAAUCGCAUGGCCUUGCGCCGGCGAUGGUUCAUUCAAAUUUCUGCCCUAUCAACUUUCGAUGGUAGGAUAGUGGCCUACCAUGGUGGCAACGGGUAACGGGGAAUUAGGGUUCGAUUCCGGAGAGGGAGCCUGAGAAACGGCUACCACAUCCAAGGAAGGCAGCAGGCGCGCAAAUUACCCAAUCCCGAUCCGGGGAGGUAGUGACAAUAAAUACUGAUAUAGGGCUCUUUUGGGUCUUAUAAUUGGAAUGAGUACAAUCUAAAUCUCUUAACGAGGAACAAUUGGAGGGCAAGUCUGGUGCCAGCAGCCGCGGUAAUUCCAGCUCCAAUAGCGUAUAUUAAAGUUGUUGCAGUUAAAAAGCUCGUAGUUGAACCUUGGGCCCGUCCUGCCGGUCCGCCUCACCGCGAGUACUGGUCCGGAUGGGUCUUUCUUUCUGGGGAAUCCCAUGGCCUUCACUGGCUGUGGCGGGGAACCAGGACUUUUACUGUGAAAAAAUUAGAGUGUUCAAAGCAGGCCUUUGCUCGGAUACAUUAGCAUGGAAUAAUAAAAUAGGACGUGUGGUUCUAUUUUUGUUGGUUUCUAGGACCGCCGUAAUGAUUAAUAGGGAUAGUCGGGGGCGUCAGUAUUCAGCUGUCAGAGGUGAAAUUCUUGGAUUUGCUGAAGACUAACU
rnacentral:rRNA from 1 species